UUCCCUUCACGCUGCUCUUCCGAUGUCUACAUUGUUAUGAAAUAUGUCUUCAGAUUAUCAGCUCGGAGAGAUAUUCGACGGAGUAUUAUUGAUCCGACACGAUUACCCCGAUCUCUGCAUUAUCAGAAUUAUAGUUGGGCGGCACGUAUCUUUUCUUUAACUGCCAUUAAACACUUUAAGGGGUGAAACCAACCUUCAAAGUAAGGCAUGUCAAGGGGUGAUUUGGUAGUUUUUUUUUUUUUUUUUGACCAAAUUACGGUUUUGAUUUUUCGUUAUGAGAAAACUUUUCCGAUUGGAUUGAUUAAAAAAUAUUAUAUUCUUGUGGGUGAAACUGCCAAGUCACCCUUUGACAUGCCUCACUUUGGACGGUGGUUUAA
rnacentral:lncRNA from 1 species